rnacentral:rRNA from 1 species
UACGGGGGGGGCAAGCGUUGUUCGGAAUUACUGGGCGUAAAGGCUCGUAGGCGGCCAUCUAAGUCGGACGUGAAAUCCCUCGGCUUAACUGGUGGCUUGCUUUCGAUACGGGCAGACUGGAGGUAUGCAGGGGAGAACGGAAUUCCUGGUGUAGCGGUGAAAUGCGGCAGAUAUCAGGAGGAACACCGGUGGCGAAAGGCGGGUUCUCCUGGGCAGUUACC